rnacentral:rRNA from 1 species
UAGAGUUUGAUCCUGGCUCAGGACGAACGCUGGCGGCGUGCUUAACACAUGCAAGUCGAGCGGAAAGGCCCUUCGGGGUACUCGAGCGGCGAACGGGUGAGUAACACGUGAGUAACCUGCCCCUGACUCUGGGAUAAGCCCGGGAAACUGGGUCUAAUACCGGAUACGACACCUCCUGGCAUCGGGUGGGUGUGGAAAGUUUUUCGGUUGGGGAUGGACUCGCGGCCUAUCAGCUUGUUGGUGGGGUAAUGGCCUACCAAGGCGACGACGGGUAGCCGGCCUGAGAGGGCGACCGGCCACACUGGGACUGAGACACGGCCCAGACUCCUACGGGAGGCAGCAGUGGGGAAUAUUGCGCAAUGGGCGAAAGCCUGACGCAGCGACGCCGCGUGGGGGAUGACGGCCUUCGGGUUGUAAACCUCUUUCAGCAGGGACGAAGUUGACGUGUACCUGCAGAAGAAGCGCCGGCUAACUACGUGCCAGCAGCCGCGGUAAUACGUAGGGCGCAAGCGUUGUCCGGAAUUAUUGGGCGUAAAGAGCUCGUAGGUGGCUGGUCGCGUCUGCCGUGAAAGCCCGCAGCUUAACUGCGGGUCUGCGGUGGAUACGGGCCGGCUAGAGGUAGGUAGGGGCAAGUGGAAUUCCUGGUGUAGCGGUG